rnacentral:sRNA from 1 species
CUUACUCAUAUGUUUUUUAAAGUAUGAGCUGCUUUGUAAAAAUAAGCCUGGUCUCUUAAGUGAAAUCCUCAGUUUGUGCCUAAUCAAUUUAUGCUGCUACUUUUCAUUAGCUCUUCUAGUUUGUGAUUUAUAGAAAUUGCUGCCUAUCAGGCAACCAUGAGGUUCCUGAAAGUUUGAGUUGAACUGUUCUGCAGCAGAUCCAUGUAGUAUCUGAUGAGUACUGAAUACUAUUAACUCUUCUCUUCACUCUGUACAGGGAACAAGUGUCCUUUCUCCUUUUCUCCAUAUUGGAUCAGUGAUUACAUUAGCUGCAAUGAUCUACAAGAAAUCUGCAGUUCAGCUUUUUGAAAAGCAUCCCUGUCUUUAUAUACUGACAUUUGGUUUUGUGUCUGCUAAAAUCACUAAUAAGCUUGUGGUUGCACACAUGACGAAAAGUGAAAUGCAUUUGCAUGACACAGCAUUCAUAGGUCCGGCACUUUUGUUUCUGGACCAGUAUUUUAACAGC